rnacentral:misc_RNA from 1 species
AGCAGCCGCGGUAAUUCCAGCUCCAAUAGCGUAUAUUAAAGUUGUUGCAGUUAAAAGCUCGUAGUUGAAUUUCGGGAUCAGUUGGUCGGUCGUGCCUCGGUACGUACUGGUCAAAUUGAUUCCUACCUUCUGACGAACCACGAUGUCAUUAAUUUGGUGUCGCGGGAAAUCAGGACUGUUACUUUGAAAAAUUAGAGUGUUUAAAGCAGGCUCGCGCUUGAAUACAUUAGCAUGGAAUAAUGAAAUAGGACGUUUGAUUCUAUUUUGUUGGUUUCUAGGAUCGACGUAAUGAUUAAUAGGGAUAGUUGGGGGCAUUAGUAUUCAAUUGUCAGAGGUGAAAUUCUUGGAUUUAUUGAAGACUAACUACUGCGAAAGCAUUUGCCAAGGAUGUUUUCAUUAAUCAAGAACGAAAGUUAGGGAUCGAAGACGAUCAGAUACCGUCGUAGUCUUAACCAUAAACUAUGCCGACUAGGGAUCGGAUGAUGUUAAUUUUUAAUGACUCAUUCGGCGUCCUUACGGG